AUUGAACGCUGGCGGCAGGCCUAACACAUGCCAGUCGAGCGGAUGAAGGGAGCUUGCUCCUGGAUUCAGCGGCGGACGGGUGAGUAAUGCCUAGGAAUCUGCCUGGUAGUGGGGGCUAACGUCCGGAAACGGGCGCUAAUACCGCAUACGUCCUGAGGGAGAAAGUGGGGGAUCUUCGGACCUCACGCUAUCAGAUGAGCCUAGGUCGGAUUAGCUAGUUGGUGGGGUAAAGGCCUACCAAGGCGACGAUCCGUAACUGGUCUGAGAGGAUGAUCAGUCACACUGGAACUGAGACACGGUCCAGACUCCUACGGGAGGCAGCAGUGGGGAAUAUUGGACAAUGGGCGAAAGCCUGAUCCAGCCAUGCCGCGUGUGUGAAGAAGGUCUUCGGAUUGUAAAGCACUUUAAGUUGGGAGGAAGGGCAGUAAGUUAAUACCUUGCUGUUUUGACGUUACCAACAGAAUAAGCACCGGCUAACUUCGUG
rnacentral:rRNA from 1 species